GAUGAACGCUAGCGGCAGGCUUAAUGCAUGCAAGUCGAGGGGCAGCGUGGUGUAGCAAUACACUGAUGGCGACCGGCAAACGGGUGCGGAACACGUACAGAACCUUCCUUCGAGCGGGGAAUAGCCCAGAGAAAUUUGGAUUAAUACCCCAUAGUAUAUUGAAAAGGCAUCUUUUUAAUAUUAAAGAUUUAUCACUUGAAGAUGGCUGUGCGGCUGAUUAGGUAGUUGGCGGGGUAACGGCCCACCAAGCCUGCGAUCAGUAACUGGUGUGAGAGCACGACCAGUCACACGGGGACUGAGACACGGGCCCGACUCCUACGGGAGGCAGCAGUAAGGAAUAUUGGUCAAUGGACGAAAGUCUGAACCAGCCAUGCCGCGUGGAGGAUGAAGGUCCUCUGGAUUGUAAACUUCUUUUAUAUGGGACGAAAAAAGGCUUUUCUAAGUCGUCUGACGGUACCAUAUGAAUAAGCACCGGCUAACUCCGUGCCAGCAGCCGCAGUAAAAC
rnacentral:rRNA from 1 species